CUCAGGACGAACGCUGGCGGCGUGCCUAAUACAUGCAAGUAGAACGCUGAAGAGAGGAGCUUGCUCUUCUUGGAUGAGUUGCGAACGGGUGAGUAACGCGUAGGUAACCUGCCUUGUAGCGGGGGAUAACUAUUGGAAACGAUAGCUAAUACCGCAUAACAAUGGAUGACACAUGUCAUUUAUUUGAAAGGGGCAAAUGCUCCACUACAAGAUGGACCUGCGUUGUAUUAGCUAGUAGGUGAGGUAACGGCUCACCUAGGCGACGAUACAUAGCCGACCUGAGAGGGUGAUCGGCCACACUGGGACUGAGACACGGCCCAGACUCCUACGGGAGGCAGCAGUAGGGAAUCUUCGGCAAUGGGGGCAACCCUGACCGAGCAACGCCGCGUGAGUGAAGAAGGUUUUCGGAUCGUAAAGCUCUGUUGUAAGUCAAGAACGAGUGUGAGAGUGGAAAGUUCACACUGUGACGGUAGCUUACCAGAAAGGGACGGCUAACUACGUGCCAGCAGCCGCGGUAAUACGUAGGUCCCGAGCGUUGUCCGGAUUUAUUGGGCGUAAAGCGAGCGCAGGCGGUUUGAUAAGUCUGAAGUUAAAGGCUGUGGCUCAACCAUAGUUCGCUUUGGAAACUGUCAAACUUGAGUGCAGAAGGGGAGAGUGGAAUUCCAUGUGUAGCGGUGAAAUGCGUAGAUAUAUGGAGGAACACCGGUGGCGAAAGCGGCUCUCUGGUCUGUAACUGACGCUGAGGCUCGAAAGCGUGGGGAGCGAACAGGAUUAGAUACCCUGGUAGCCCACGCCGUAAACGAUGAGUGCUAGGUGUUGGAUCCUUUCCGGGAUUCAGUGCCGCAGCUAACGCAUUAAGCACUCCGCCUGGGGAGUACGACCGCAAGGUUGAAACUCAAAGGAAUUGACGGGGGCCCGCACAAGCGGUGGAGCAUGUGGUUUAAUUCGAAGCAACGCGAAGAACCUUACCAGGUCUUGACAUCCCGAUGCUAUUUCUAGAGAUAGAAAGUUACUUCGGUACAUCGGUGACAGGUGGUGCAUGGUUGUCGUCAGCUCGUGUCGUGAGAUGUUGGGUUAAGUCCCGCAACGAGCGCAACCCCUAUUGUUAGUUGCCAUCAUUCAGUUGGGCACUCUAGCGAGACUGCCGGUAAUAAACCGGAGGAAGGUGGGGAUGACGUCAAAUCAUCAUGCCCCUUAUGACCUGGGCUACACACGUGCUACAAUGGUUGGUACAACGAGUUGCGAGUCGGUGACGGCAAGCUAAUCUCUUAAAGCCAAUCUCAGUUCGGAUUGUAGGCUGCAACUCGCCUACAUGAAGUCGGAAUCGCUAGUAAUCGCGGAUCAGCACGCCGCGGUGAAUACGUUCCCGGGCCUUGUACACACCGCCCGUCACACCACGAGAGUUUGUAACACCCGAAGUCGGUGAGGUAACCUUUUGGAGCCAGCCGCCUAAGGUGGGA
rnacentral:rRNA from 1 species